GGGUUAGUAGGUUGGUCAUGCCUCUGGUAUGUACUGGUCUCACUGAUUCCUCCUUCCUGAUGAACCAUAAUGUCAUUUAUUUGGUGUUGCAGGGAGUCUGGACUGUUACUUUGAAAAAAUUAGAGUGUUUAAAGCAGGCUAACGCCUGAAUACAUUAGCAUGGAAUAAUGAAAUAGGACGUUCGAUCCUAUUUUGUUGGUUUCUAGGAUUGACGUA
rnacentral:rRNA from 1 species